rnacentral:rRNA from 1 species
CACUUCUAAGGAAGGCAGCAGGCGCGCAAAUUACCCAAUCCUGACUCAGGGAGGUAGUGACAAGAAAUAACAAUAAACCGGCUUAUGCCGGUUUAAUUGGAAUGAGUACAAUUUAAACAUCUUAACGAGGAACAAUUGGAGGGCAAGUCUGGUGCCAGCAGCCGCGGUAAUUCCAGCUCCAAUAGCGUAUACUAAAGUUGUUGCAGUUAAAAAGCUCGUAGUUGGAUUUCUGUGGGGACGGAGCGGCCGGCCGCAACACGCGGUUCGAGCUAGCGCUUUCCCUACAUCCUGCCGCGAACCGUGCUACCAUUAGUUUGGUGGCGCCGGGGAUCGGCUCGAUUACUUUGAGAAAAAUAGAGUGUUCAAAGCAGGCCACACGCCUUGAAUAAGUUAGCAUGGAAUAAUAACCAAGGACUUCGGUUCUAUUUUGUUGGUGUUCGGGACUGAAGUAAUGAUUGAUAGGGACAGUUGGGGCGGUCUGUAUUCCAAAGCGAGAGGUGAAAUUCUUAGACCUUCGGAAGACAAACAACUGCGAAAGCGUUCCGCAAGGAUGUUCCCUUUGAUCAAGAACGAAAGUUGGGGGAUCGAAGACGAUCAGAUACCGUCGUAGUCUCAACUAUAAACUAUACCAGCUAGGGAUCGGCCAACGUUAUUCUAUACCGACUUGGUCGGCACCUUAUGAGAAAUCAAAGCAUCUGGGUUCCGGGGGGAGUAUGGUCGCAAGGCUGAAACUUAAAGGAAUUGACGGAAGGGCACCACCAGCUGUGGAGCCUGUGGCUUAAUUUGACUCAACACGGGAAAACUUACCAGGUCCAGACAUAGUAAGGAUUGACAGAUUGAUAGCUCUUUCUUGAUUCUGUGGGUGGUGGUGCAUGGCCGUUCUUAGUUGGUGGAGUGAUUUGUCUGGUUAAUUCCGUUAACGAACGGGACCCCAGCCUGCUAAAUAGCGCGCGUGAGCUUUGCUCGCGGCGAGCUUCUUAGAGGGACUAUGAUGCGCGAUAGCACAUGGAAGUUUGGGGCAAUAACAGGUCUGUGAUGCCCUUAGAUGUUCUGGGCCGCACACGGGCUACACUGGCGCCUGCAACGAGCAUAUCAGCUGGCCCGAGAGGGUCUUGGCUAAUCUUUUGAACCGGCGCCGUGCUUGGGAUUGACCUUUGCAAUUGUUGGUCAUGCAACGAGGAAUGCCUUGUAAACGCGAGUCAUCAGCUCGCAUUGAAUACGUCCCUGCCCUUUGUACACACCGCCCGUCGCUCCUACCGAUGAAUGUUCCGAUGAAAUUUUCGGAGAGCACCUGUGAACUUGGCUCUGCCUUGCGAACGGGAGGCUCAAAGUCACUUAAAUCUGAACAUUUCGAGG